ACACACACCACAAUUAGCAAGUAAACAGAAGAAAAAAAGAAAGUAGAAGAAAGACCCAACACGAACCCAACCCUUGUUAAUGAACACACAACAUAAUGGAUUUAUCAAGGACCACUGGCGUCAAGUGGCCACUAGAUGGAAGUAGUGGACCGCGUAGCAGGACCCGGCGUGACAGUUUUACCCCCAACUGCUCUUUAAAUCACAUGUAUCUGAUCACAGUUUAACCCCUACCUGCUUCUUGAAUCAAAUUGAUGUAAUACUGUAAGUAGCAUUUGGGUGAGCGGGUCUGAUGAAUGACAAAAAUAAAUACCUGAGACCGUUUAUCAAAGCCAUGUUUUAUUACCCUGCUAUUGCAUCUGGAACCACUAGGGGGCAGUGCAUUGGUGCAUGAGAUCCGCCGACAGACGCAGGUAGUGUGAACAAGCCCUGACGCCUCGUGCCCACUGCCUCCGUCCAUUGACUGAUCCCGGUUGACUUUGAAUGGGGACGGACGCAUAAUGCAUGGUGGAUUCCGACGUCCUUUGACUGACGGUGCAGUGGGCACGAGGGGUCAUGCCCACUGCACCGUCAGUCAAGGGACGUCGGAAGGCUUGGCAUUUUUCAACUUUUUGACGGAGCCGAAGGCUCCUACGGAGCGAACGGACCCACAAUGCAUUGCGUGUCCGUCCCCAUUCAAAGUCAAUGGGGAUCA
ensembl:lncRNA